GAAUAGAACCAUAGGAUAUCAAAUCAGAAAGGACACGCAACAACCAUCGAGUCCAACUCCUGGAUCCAUAAAGUACUACUAAAAAAUUACACCUUUAGGAAGGCUGGGGGAUAUCUUAGUCCUCUGUCACAGUAUCAUGAAUGUCUCCACGAGAAAGCUGUUUAAUCCUUACAGGAAAGAAUUGCUCUGAAGGCAGAGUGAACAUUACCAGAACCGAUCAUGGUGACAUCCCUUCUCACAGUCAGCUCCAGGGGAAAGGUCCUCCCAGCACCCGGGAGUGAAAUCCUAGAAAGUAUCAAAACACACUUGUUUGAAAAAUAAAUAGAUGUACAUAAAGCCAGAAAAGAAAACAGUGUAUUCUUAAUGCUCCAUUAUUAACGGUACUCAGUAAGGGAUUUUCUGCUUUGCUGGAGCAUGUAACAGGCUUAAAUAAGAAUCCCUAUCAGAACAUAUCUUUGUAAUUAUGCAGAUAAUAUUUUUGCUACUGUAAUGACAACAUAAACGCUCACAAACUGCAUUGGUUACACAUCUCUGAAAUACAGAGAUGUCUCUGAGCUUGCACUUCUGUGAAGACCACAAACACAUCACCUCGACCAACACUUCAGUCUGCAGGCAUUUCAUAGCGUCAUCCUUUGUUUUGAUGACUGCUCAUGUUUGUGAUCUCAGCAACCAUCGUGGAAUACAAACACAGCACUGACAUGCCUGCAAGUUGAGGGUGUUUUAUUGCUCUGGCAAUGGGACCGAACCCUUCCACAGCCAGUCUUGUAAACAGAUACAUCCCUUGCUGAAGAGCUGAGAUGUCCUGAUUACCAACACUUCUGCCAUGUCUCACAGCUUCCUAAACGCCAACUGGAAACCAUCUUGGUAUUACACUGUGUCAUCGCGGUAUAAGAACAAAUAAAGUCAAGUUUAUUGAGUU
rnacentral:lncRNA from 1 species